rnacentral:rRNA from 1 species
UGCAUGGCUGUCGUCAGCUCGUGUUGUGAAAUGUUGGGUUAAGUCCCGCAACGAGCGCAACCCUUAUCCUUUGUUGCCAGCGGUCCGGCCGGGAACUCAAAGGAGACUGCCAGUGAUAAACUGGAGGAAGGUGGGGAUGACGUCAAGUCAUCAUGGCCCUUACGACCAGGGCUACACACGUGCUACAAUGGCGCAUACAAAGAGAAGCGACCUCGCGAGAGCAAGCGGACCUCAUAAAGUGCGUCGUAGUCCGGAUUGGAGUCUGCAACUCGACUCCAUGAAGUCGGAAUCGCUAGUAAUCGUGGAUCAGAAUGCCACGGUGAAUACGUUCCCGGGCCUUGUACACACCGCCCGUCACACCAUGGGAGUGGGUUGCAAAAGAAGUAGGUAGCUUAACCUUCGGGAGGGCGCUUACCACUUUGUGAUUCAUGACUGGGGUGAAGUCGUAACAAGGUAACCGUAGGGGAACCUGCGGUUGGAUCACCUCCUUA